AUUGAACGCUGGCGGCAUGCCUUACACAUGCAAGUCGAGCGGCAGCAUGGAGAGCUUGCUCUCUGAUGGCGAGUGGCGAACGGGUGAGUAAUGCAUCGGAACGUACCGUGUAAUGGGGGAUAACGUAGCGAAAGUUACGCUAAUACCGCAUACGACCUGAGGGUGAAAGCAGGGGAUCGCAAGACCUUGCGUUAUCCGAGCGGCCGAUGGCAGAUUAGCAAGUUGGUGAGGUAAAGGCCCACCAAGGCGACGAUCUGUAGCGGGUCUGAGAGGAUGAUCCGCCACACUGGGACUGAGACACGGCCCAGACUCCGACGGGAGGCAGCAGUGGGGAAUUUUGGACAAUGGGGGCAACCCUGAUCCAGCCAUGCCGCGUGAGUGAAGAAGGCCUUCGGGUUGUAAAGCUCUUUCGGCCGGGAAGAAAUCGCACAGGCUAAUACUCUGUGUGGAUGACGGUACCGGCAUAAGAAGCACCGGCUAACUACGUGCCAGCCGCCGCGGUAA
rnacentral:rRNA from 1 species